GGGUUGUUGCUGGUCCUCAACGGGGACANNNNNNNCUCUGUUUACACAUCCACUCACACCUGUGCACCCUCCGUAGUUCUGUGGUCUGGGGGAUCCUGUCUUCCUGCCGUGGUUCUACGUCUUUACACACACACUGUAAUAAAGUCUUAUGGAAUGUAUGCCGCGUCUAACGCAAUACAAUACAACUUUCAGCAACGGAUCUCUUGGCUCUCGCAUCGAUGAAGAACGCAGCGAAAUGCGAUAAGUAAUGUGAAUUGCAGAAUUCAGUGAAUCAUCGAAUCUUUGAACGCACCUUGCSCCCCUUGGCUAUUCCGAGGGGCAUGCCUGUUUGAGUAUCAUGAACACCUCAACUCUCAUGGUUUGCCGUGAUGAGCUUGGACUCUGGGGGUUUUGCUGGCCUGCGGUCGGCUCCCCUCAAAUGAAUCAGCCUCCCAGUGUUUGGUGGCAUCACGGGUGUGAUAAAUAUCUACGCUCGCAGUUGUCCGCCAGGUAACCUUUGGUAACAAAGGUUCGCUGGAGCUCACAGAUGUCUCUCCUCAGCGAGGACAGCUUUUUGAACGUUCGAUCUCMAAUCAGGUAGGACUACCCGCUGAACUUAAGCAUAUCAAUAAGCGGAGGAAAAGAAACUAACAAGGAUUCCCCUAGUAACUGCGAGUGCMGCGGGAAGAGCUCAAAUUUAAAAUCUGGCGUGCCUCUGGUCGUCCGAGUUGUAGUCUAGAGAAGCGUUUUCCGUGCUGGACCGUGUAMAA
rnacentral:rRNA from 1 species